CUCACUGUCUAAUUUCCACCUGUCAAAUAAAAAAAAAACUUUGAAAGGGAUUCCAAAAUUGAUUUAAACUUUAGGACCAUUUCCUUAAGAGAGAGAAGGCUUACAAUGUUUUCUAAAACUACCUUUAUGGAAUCUUGAUGUCUUUAUUGCAUUUACUACUUUAUGAAUGAUAUAAAUGUAUAUGAAUAUUUCUGUUUAAUAUUGUACCAGUUUUAGCUAAGAUCACCAUGACAACCAGAGAAGAGACAAAGAGUAAAUGGCAAGUGUAUUCCUUACAUUGUGUGGUCAAGUCUAGUUCUCAUUAAUUCACUGGGAAAAGUUUCUCUAUUUCUGUUUUCUUUCAGUUCCAAGAGAGACAGGUGAAAAUGCAUAUUUUAGUAGAGGUUGGUUGAUUGUGAAAUAGUUUCCAUAGAUCGGAAUUUGAUUUCUGAUGUGGGCAAUUCAAUGAAUCAUUUAUUAUAGCAUGCACAGGUGUUCAUUGGGAAAGCAUCAUAGUCUACUGGAAAGAACAGUUAUUCUCUCCAGAUCAUUCAAGUGCAAAAUUGUAUUAGGGACAGUGAUAAAGGAUUAAAUGACCAUCAGAGCUAUCUUUAUGCCUUAUGUUAUAAGCAAUAGAUAUGACCCUUGUAAUCCCCAUAAUGUCCUACAAUAAUGUAGAGUCCUUUUAAAGAUAACCAAUGAUGCUCAGCAUAUCCAGAGUGUGCCACACACCUGGGGAAUUUCACACUAGGCUCUCAAUACUAUACGGUUGUAUGUUCAUUUUAAUUAUACUUGUAAUUCUUAUUUUCCUUGUCUGGAGAGGCAAAGAAGAGAUACAAAGGCAGAUGCUCCCCAGCUUCCCACAACAUCUGAGGCUGGGCCAUGCUGAAGCAAGAACACAACUAAGAAUGAGUUUCCUGCCUGGGAAACUGGUACCCAACUGCUUCAGUCAUCACCUUCUGCCUACCAGGGUGUGCACCAGCAUCUGAAGCACAAGCAUCAUCAUAAGUGUUGCACCAGGGGUGCCCUCAAAUUCCCCCUUCUCCCAAUCAUCAUGCUCGUCGCAGCUCUGAAACUGCUGUUCUAAAAACUCCUCUGCAUGGGUGGGCAUUUAGCAGAGGGGUUAACACACCAUGUGGGGUGCCUCAGUUGCAUAUAAGACUGUGGGUUCAUCACCUGGAUCCCCUUCCAAGCCUAGCUUCCUACAAUGCUCAGCCUGGGAAGCAACACAUACUAGAUUAAGUACUUGGGUCUCUUCCACUCAUGUAGGACACUCAGAUUGGGUUCCAGGCUCCUGACUUCAGCCUUGCCCAGCUUCCAUAACUGUAGAUACAUGAGGAAUGAACCAGUGGAUGGUACAUUCUUUAUCUCUCCUCUCUUUCCACAUUUUAAAAGUAAACAAAUAAAUAAUAGACACCACUUUACAAUUCAAGUCUGCUUCCCAUGUCUCUAAUCCUAUAGAUCUAUCUUUCCUCUGAAUAUAAAUUAAUUUCACUUACUUUAGUCUUAUACACCAUAUAAAUAACUAAAAUAAGUGAUAUAAAGUGAUAUAUUUUAUACACAAAUGUAUAAAUCUGUAUAGUCUUACUUAGAUGUUAGUUUCAUGUUUAUUGAAAAAGCAAUAAAAUCCCCAUUUAUAUACUAAUCAUUCUAUCUCUUCUUCAUAAAAGAAUUUCAAAUAAAAUUUUAUGUUUAAAUAUUUCCUCUUCUUUCCUUAUGCUGAAUAACACUUUGCAGAUAAUAGUCCAAUUCCACCAGUCCAUUGGAAGGAUUCUCUUUCAAUUCAAACAUUAUGAUGUUAAAUGAAAUAGGAAUGUCCACAACUUAAUCUGUUUGACUCUCUUCAACAUGUCAAAAAUCCAACAAAUCUCUUCUACAGAGUGUAUGACCCUUCUUUCUUUUGUGAUUUUCUUUUCUUACUUACUACUCAUCUUUGUUCCUCUUAUAUUUCCUUUUUAAAUAUUAUUACAAUUCAUACUUCUGUCCUUGGUUUCCUGCUUUCUUGAUACACAAGAACACUUUAAGAACUCCAUGUGUUUGAUUGAGUUUAUUAUCACCUGGCUAAAUUGUGUAUAAAAAGUAGUAAUUUCCUAUAUUCUUGCCUCUAACCUGAUAACAGUAUUGCAUAACAUCCAGAUAUAUUUUGAAAUUGUUAAUAAGUGCUUGCAAUUAGAUACCUGAGUCUCCAUAUAGGUGUGUAUUAGUAGAAUUAGAUAGUAAGGAGAAGUAGCCAGCAAAAAAAUCUGUUUGACUGGACAACAUUAUGAGAGAAUUACUGGGGCCAGCAAUGUGGUGUCUUGGGUAAAGCCAGCACCUGUGAUACCAGCAUCCCAUAAGGGCACUGGUUUGAGUCCUGGUUCCUCCACUUCUAAUCCAGCUCACUACUAGUAUACCUGGAAAAGCAGAAGAAGAUGGCCCCACGUACUGAGGUCCCUGCACCCACAAGGGAGACUCAAAUGAAGCUUGUCAUUGUGGCUAUUUGGGCAGUGAAGAUUUCUCUCUCUCUCUCUCUCUCUCUCUCUCUCUCUCUCGCUGUAACUCCACCUUUCAAAUAAAUCAAUAAAUAAAUCUUAAAGAGACAGUGAUUAUUUAGGAUAUGAGAUGUGAAGUGGCAUGGUAACUAUGUUGUAUGUGUGUGCAUAUGCACAAGGAUUCUUUACAAAACUCAUGGAAUGUGCAAUGGAAAGGUUUAUUAUGUGCAAAAACUUUAGAAAUCCACAUAUUUUAGAAUAUUAGGUAUUUUCCAUGAACUUCUAGGAGACCCUUCAUAUAUGUAUGUGUCUAUACCCUUUCCCUUAUAGAAAGAAUGUUUCAUGGAAAGACACCAACAUACCUACUAAAUUACAGACCACACUAUGUGAAAUAUAUGAUGAGGACUACAUAAUAGAAGAAAAAAAAAGAAGUAUUUCUUACUCUAGGGGACUGGGAUAGGAUUACAUUUUCAGUAUUUAACUUAUUUACAUGGAACUUAGCCCUCUCAAGAAGUGACUUUCUACAGAAGGUCAUCAAAAAGCAUGGAAUCAAACAUGACAUAAACACUGAAGAAGCCCAAGUUUGUAAUACACAUAAUAUGAAUAUAGUAGAUGGAGAAAGAGCAGAAUCCUAAUCAUAUUGCAACUAACCAUUCUCAAAACUGAAGGAUAUGAUUUUGUUAAAGUGAAGAUAGCUUUUCUGCACCAUCAAAGGUCAAACCUAAACAUGCAGAUAAUGGAACAUUAGUAACGUUUCCUGGGAAUGAUUAAUAAGAUAAUUGGUUGCUUUCAAGACUAGUUUUUGGAAUGAAAUUAAAGAUAAAUGAGACUUUAAUGUUUUGACAUUUCAUCCUAUUGAACAAUGGGUGGAAUCACAUGAGUUUAGAUGAUGCUUCCUACUAAUAAAAUCAUCUCCAUGGAUCGUACUCAGGAUUAUACUUCAUGGAUUACGUAGCCUGUAACUGAAGCAAAUAUCACCACAGGAUUAAACUUGCUUAUUCAACUGGAGCAAUUUCCACAUUUUAUCCAUGAUCUUUUUGAAAACCACACGGAGAAAACUAGUGCAGAAGCAACACGAUGUAAAAAUUCAUGGCAUUAUUUUAAACAUAAAAGAUUAUAAAUAAAGAACAAACUGCAUUAAAGAAUAAAAA